rnacentral:rRNA from 1 species
CCUACGGGCGGCAGCAGUGGGGAAUAUUGGACAAUGGGGGCAACCCUGAUCCAGCCAUGCCGCGUGUGUGAAGAAGGCCCUCGGGUUGUAAAGCACUUUCAGUGAGGAAGAACGCCUGGUGGUUAAUACCCAUCAGGAAAGACAUCACUCACAGAAGAAGCACCGGCUAACUCCGUGCCAGCAGCCGCGGUAAUACGGAGGGUGCGAGCGUUAAUCGGAAUUACUGGGCGUAAAGUGCGCGUAGGUGGCUCGAUAAGCCGGUUGUGAAAGCCCCGGGCUCAACCUGGGAACGGCAUCCGGAACUGUCAAGCUAGAGUGCAGGAGAGGAAGGUAGAAUUCCCGGUGUAGCGGUGAAAUGCGUAGAGAUCGGGAGGAAUACCAGUGGCGAAGGCGGCCUUCUGGACUGACACUGACACUGAGGUGCGAAAGCGUGGGUAGCAAACAGGAUUAGAUACCCGUGUAGUC